rnacentral:rRNA from 1 species
GCGAGCGGCGGAUGGGUGAGUAACACGUGGGGAACCUGCCCCUAAGUCUGGGAUACCAUUUGGAAACAGGUGCUAAUACCGGAUAAUAAAGCAGAUCGCAUGAUCAGCUUUUGAAAGGCGGCGUAAGCUGUCGCUAAGGGAUGGCCCCGCGGUGCAUUAGCUAGUUGGUAAGGUAACGGCUUACCAAGGCGACGAUGCAUAGCCGAGUUGAGAGACUGAUCGGCCACAUUGGGACUGAGACACGGCCCAAACUCCUACGGGAGGCAGCAGUAGGGAAUCUUCCACAAUGGACGCAAGUCUGAUGGAGCAACGCCGCGUGAGUGAAGAAGGUUUUCGGAUCGUAAAGCUCUGUUGUUGGUGAAGAAGGAUAGAGGUAGUAACUGGCCUUUAUUUGACGGUAAUCAACCAGAAAGUCACGGCUAACUACGUGCCAGCAGCCGCGGUAAUACGUAGGUGGCAAGCGUUGUCCGGAUUUAUUGGGCGUAAAGCGAGCGCAGGCGGAAAAAUAAGUCUAAUGUGAAAGCCCUCGGCUUAACCGAGGAACUGCAUCGGAAACUGUUUUUCUUGAGUGCAGAAGAGGAGAGUGGAACUCCAUGUGUAGCGGUGGAAUGCGUAGAUAUAUGGAAGAACACCAGUGGCGAAGGCGGCUCUCUGGUCUGCAACUGACGCUGAGGCUCGAAAGCAUGGGUAGCGAACAGGAUUAGAUACCCUGGUAGUCCAUGCCGUAAACGAUGAGUGCUAAGUGUUGGGAGGUUUCCGCCUCUCAGUGCUGCAGCUAACGCAUUAAGCACUCCGCCUGGGGAGUACGACCGCAAGGUUGAAACUCAAAGGAAUUGACGGGGGCCCGCAC